rnacentral:rRNA from 1 species
UGGGGAAUAUUGCACAAUGGGGGAAACCCUGAUGCAGCGACGCCGCGUGAGCGAAGAAGUAUUUCGGUAUGUAAAGCUCUAUCAGCAGGGAAGAAAAUGACGGUACCUGACUAAGAAGCCCCGGCUAACUACGUGCCAGCAGCCGCGGUAAAACGUAGGGUGCAAGCGUUGUCCGGAAUUACUGGGUGUAAAGGGAGCGCAGGCGGACCGGCAAGUUGGAAGUGAAAACCAUGGGCUCAACCCGUGAAUUGCUUUCAAAACUGCUGGCCUUGAGUAGUGCAGAGGUAGGUGGAAUUCCCGGUGUAGCGGUGGAAUGCGUAGAUAUCGGGAGGAACACCAGUGGCGAAGGCGACCUACUGGGCACCAACUGACGCUGAGGCUCGAAAGCAUGGGUAGCAAACAGGAUUAGAUACCCUGGUAGUCCAUGCCGUAAACGAUGAUUACUAGGUGUUGGAGGAUUGACCCCUUCAGUGCCGCAGUUAACACAAUAAGUAAUCCACCUGGGGAGUACGACCGCAAGGUUGAAACUCAAAGGAAUUGACGGGGGCCCGCACAAGCAGUGGAGUAUGUGGUUUAAUUCGAAGCAACGCGAAGAACCUUACCAGGGCUUGACAUCCCACUAACGAAGUAGAGAUACAUUAGGUGCCCUUCGGGGAAAGUGGAGACAGGUGGUGCAUGGUUGUCGUCAGCUCGUGUCGUGAGAUGUUGGGUUAAGUCCCGCAACGAGCGCAACCCUUAUUGUUAGUUGCUACGCAAGAGCACUCUAGCGAGACUGCCGUUGACAAAACGGAGGAAGGUGGGGACGACGUCAAAUCAUCAUGCCCUUUAUGACCUGGGCUACACACGUAAUACAAUGGUCAUUAACAGAGGGAAGCAAAGCCGCGAGGCAGAGCAAAUCCCCAAAAAUGAUCUCAGUUCGGAUCGCAGGCUGCAACCCGCCUGCGUGAAGUUGGAAUUGCUAGUAAUCGCAGAUCAGCAUGCUGCGGUGAAUACGUUCCC